ensembl:lncRNA
GGGGAAUUAAGUAUUAGCCAGGAUUAUGCAUGAGAGAUAUGAGAGAAAAUAGCCCAGUGUACAGUGCAAUUAGUUCAGUGCUAACAUGUCAGCAAUAUUAACCCUAUUGAGAAUCUGUGAAUUUUCAGUUUAAUUAUUGAGCAAAUGUUAAUAUUCACAAGUUAAAGUGAUUUCAGUAUACUCAGGUGGCUACAUAUUAGCAUUUGUAACUAUAUAUUUUCCUGCAGGGCUUCACACCUAGCUCAUUUUAUGGUAGACAAAUGAGCGUAGAGGAUCGAAAGUAAGGGUGCGAGUUAUAAAGCAGAUCUCAGCAAGCUCUCCAGGUUCUCAGAUAAGUUUUAUUGUUACUUGUAACAGUCAUUGAUAAUUGGUUGUUGGUUGGAUAAUUGGUUAACUUGGAUGAACCCUGUUCAGUGUGUGUGUACAGUGGAUAAUAAAAAAAAAGUCUACACACCCCUGUUAAAAUGGCAGGUUUUUGUGAUGUAGAAAAAUGAAACUAAGAUAAAUCAUGUCAGAACUUUUUCCAAACAAAUAAAAUUAAAUGAAAAACAAAAACAUUUUACGGAAAAAUAGGAAAAAAACAACAAAAAAACUUACAAUAACCUCUGCACAUAAAGUGUUCACAUCCUUUUAUAAUUGGGGAUGUGAAUCUUAUGUUCAGAAGUAAUUAUCAUACAGCUGUCAUUAAAUAGAUUAACAAACAGAUUAACCGCAAAUAAAGAUCAGCUGUUUCUGUGGGAUUUUCUUCUUGGUUUAAUCUGACUGCUGAAGCCAUGGUCAGCAAAGAGCUUACAAAGCCUGUACACUGUCAAAAUAUAUCGAUAAGGUGAGGGGUAUAAAAAAAUUCAAACCAUUAGAUGUACUAUGGAACAGCGUGAAGGCCAUCAUCAACAAGUGGAGAAAAUGGAGCACAUCACUAAGAACAGGACGUCCGUCCAAAAUGUAGAACAGGACAAGACAAAAACUUACCUGGGAAGCUUCCAAGAGACCUACAACAACAUUAAAUUAGCUGCAGGAAAAUCUGACGAGGUGUGAUUCCUCUGUGCACGAGAUUACAAUCUGAUGGAUUUGGAAUGUUUUUGCAAGAAAGAGUGGGAAAAUAAUGCUGAAUAAAG